UGUUUUAGGAUUUGGUUAGGAUUUGAUUUAGGAUUUGAUUGAGAUUUGGUUUAAGAUUUAUUUAGGAUUUUAUUUAGGGUUUAGGAUUUUAUUAGGAUUUAAGAUUCAAUUAGUUUUGGCCUAAAGUUUGAAUAAAAUUCAAUAGGAUUAUAAAUAGAAUUAAAUUAAGAUUGAAUUGACAUGUAUUUGAGUGAUAUUUUUGAUUCUUCUAAUAUUUUUUUAAGAAUUCUUAUUGUUUGUUUGAAAUUUCUUUGAGGUUUUGUUGAAUUUGAUUAAACUUGCUUACCAUUAUUAUGGUAUAAUUAGAGCAUUGUUAGUAUUCUAUUAGAAUUAGGAUUUUGUUAUUGUAAUUUCCAUUCUUCCUUCUACAGCCAGAUAUCCAGAGCAUUCUCAAGGAAAACUUCAUGUAUUAUGACAACGUAUUCUAAUAUAUGACAUCGAGAUGGUCUUCAUCCUACAUAUCCUCUAACUAUUCAUUUUAAAUGGAUUGUUGAUUUGGUUAUUAUGCCA
rnacentral:lncRNA from 1 species